GCACCUUUAGCUCAGUUGGUAGAGCAACUGACUCUUAAUCAGUGGGUCUAGGGUUCGAGCCCCUAAAGGUGCA
rnacentral:tRNA from 3 species